CAACUGGAGCAGACUAACAAGGAUUCCCCUAGUAACUGCGAGUGAAGCGGGAAAAGCUCAAAUUUAAAAUCUGGCGGUCUUUGGCCCGUCCGAGUUGUAAUCUAGAGAAGUAAUGCCCGUGCUGGACCGUGUAUAAGUCUCCUGGGAUGGGGCGUCAUAGAGGGUGAGAAUCCCGUCUUUGACACGGACUACCAGUGCAUUGUGGUAUGCUCUCAAAGAGUCGAGUUGUUUGGGAAUGCAGCUCAAAAUGGGUGGUAAAUUCCAUCUAAAGCUAAAUAUUGGCGAGAGACCGAUAGCGAACAAGUACCGUGAGGGAAAGAUGAAAAGAACUUUGGAAAGAGAGUUAAACAGUACGUGAAAUUGCUGAAAGGGAAACGCUUGAAGUCAGUCGCGUUGGCCAGGGAUCAGCCUUGCUCUUGCAUGGUGUACUUUCUGGUUGACGGGUCAGCAUCAAUUUUGACCACUGGAAAAGGGCCUGGGGAAUGUGGCAGCUUCGGCUGUGUUAUAGCCCCUGGUCGCAUACAGUGGUUGGGAUUGAGGAACUCAGCACGCCGCAAGGCCGGGUUUCGACCACGUUCGUGCUUAGGAUGCUGGCAUAAUGGCUUUAAGCGACCCGUCUUGAAACACGGACCAAGGAGUCUAACAUGCCUGCGAGUAUUUGGGUGGAAAACCCGAAGUGCGUAAUGAAAGUGAAAGUUGAGAUCCCUGUCGUGGGGAGCAUCGACGCCCGGACCAGAACUUUUGGGACGGAUCCGCGGUGGAGCAUGUAUGUUGGGACCCGAAAGAUGGUGAACUAUGCCUGAAUAGGGUGAAGCCAGAGGAAACUCUGGUGGAGGCUCGUAGCGAUUCUGACGUGCAAAUCGAUCGUCAAAUUUGGGUAUAGGGGCGAAAGACUAAUCGAACCAUCAAUCCCAC
rnacentral:rRNA from 1 species